CAAGAGGGGGCGCGAGAAAGGCACCGACCUGCGCACAGCACCUGCAGCUGCAGGAGCGCGAGCAGGAGCGAGGAGAGCCUGGGCGUCACCAUCUCCAAGUUUGGGGGCGCGGGAGCCUCGUCCUGGGAGCGAAUGGCAAGAAGUCAAAAAACAAAAGGACAGAGGCAGGGCAGCAGCAGACUCCUGUUCACCUUGGCAACCCUUUCCUCCCAGGGAGAAGAGCACAUUGGGGGAACACUACGUCCUUGAAGAAGGUGCUGUGGAUGGAGUCCCCUGGGCUCAGGCAUGACAGGCAAGGACUGUACCACUGAGCUACAGCUACAGCCCAGCGUAAACCCCAAGAAUAGUUCUCUCAGAGCAACUCAUGUGGCCAGCAAUUCUUUAUUUGAAGAUAAGCUCUAAAUGUUAUAGGAAAAAAAUCAAUAAAAUACAGAAAAAUAUUUUUAACAAUAGUGCCAUGUUGGCAUAUCUUUCCACUGAGUUUUUUUUUAUGCUUACAUCACAGAAACAGUAAGGCUUUCUUGCCCUGAAUAGUUGCAUAAUGGCCAAAAUUGUGAGAGUUUCUUCUUUUUUUUGGUUAUAAAGAAUGCACAUAUACGUAAGUCUUUGUUCCUGAUUAACUGUCUGAUAAAUUUCCAGAAGUAGAGCCAUCGGGGCAUAGGGUAUGAGCUCACUGCCAAUGGCCCUUUGUGAAAUAGGAACCCAUCACACUGCCGAUUCCAGUGUCCUGCUCACCCAAGCCCUGCUCACUGAAUCCCUCCAGCAACUGUGGGCUAUUUCAAAAGAAUAUUCUCAGUAUGGGAAUGUGUAAAAGUUUUCUU